UGGGAACGUACCCUUUGGUUCGGAACAACUCCGGGAAACUGGAGAUAAUACCGUAUGUGUCCGAAAGGGGAAAGAUUCAUCGCCUUUGGAUCGGCCCGCGUCUGAUUAGCUAGUUGACGGGGUAAUGGCCCACCAAGGCGACGAUCCGUAGCUGGUCUGAGAGGAUGAUCAGCCACACUGGGACUGAGACACGGCCCAGACUCCUACGGGAGGCAG
rnacentral:rRNA from 1 species